CCGGAGUUGGGGAGUUGGGCGCUAAGUGGUGCGGGCUGGGCGCUGGUGGGCGGGGUGCGGGUCCCCGAUUUCGGGGGCGCCCGGGACCCCAGCGCCUGCCUUGACAACUGCUGUUGCGGAAUGCAGCCGAGACUUUCCGAGCGCCUGGGGAGGGACGUGCAGAUAGUGCUGGGGCCCCGCCGGAGUCUCGGCAUCUGCAGUCUUCGGGGCUGUGGCUUCCCAGUCGCCCGGGCUCGGUCCCGAAAACUGGCAGACCUACUUUGAUCCCGGAGACUCAGUGUUUUCCGCCUUGAAAUGGAGCCACAGCUAUGCACCAUGAGCAUCCAUCCAUGGGCGGGCCCUGGUUUUCUUCCUCUCCGGGACCCUCCUGUUCAGUGUGAACGCCCUCUGUACACUGUGGAAUGAUGUGUCUGCCCACCACCUGUCUGUUGUCUCUGAUAACCGGCGGGGAGGUGACCCGAGAGACUCUGCAGGACCUUAUCCUCAAGCAACUUUAACCCCGGUGGAGUUGGAAUGGCUUCCAGUCCCACGUGUGUUUCUGGACGCCCGGCGCACGGUGCCCUUUCCCAAAACCUCUUGUCGGUUUCUGAUCCCUUUCAGCCGUUCAGCAAGCCGUCGGCGAGCGCCGCCUGUAUUUCAGACACUGUGCCAGACUCUGGGAGGAAAUGAAAGCAGUUCCCUGACGACUGGGAGCUGGAACGUUAAACGCGUAAUCGCACUAGACAAGGUAAUGUGUGUAUCACUGGUGAGGGCUCUGAACGGGCUGCCUGGGCGCUGUCUCAGCCCUGCAGCGGGAGACUUACUCUGACCCCUGAAGCCUGUGGCUCCUCCCUGGGGCGCUUGGUACUUGUCACUUAACUGCUUCCUCCCAGAUGCUGAGAAACCGAGAACUCCUGGCUUCCUUCCUCUCUGCCACUUUCACGUGCGCCCUCGGCUUCUCCUGCCCAACCUCUCCACUCCUGGACCAGCAUGGUGAGGACUCUUGCUCCCAGUUUUUCCAGCACAGGCUGAGCAAUGAGGGUUCAAUUUUCUGACAUUACAUCUCUGGGCUUGACAUCUGUAGCAAAAUCGUCAAGACUUGGGUCUCCUGGGCUCUGGAGUCCACACUGCUCUGGUAACCCUCUAUGGCUGAUCAAACCUCUCCCUCUCUCUUCCUGGUUGCUGGCUUUGUUUUUGUUCAUGUGCUGUUGAUCACUCAGAUCCCUCCACCCAGAAAGCCCUCUCCUUCUGUUAGUGGAAAUAUUGUUCAUCCUCCCUGUCUAGUUGAAGUGCCACAAAAUUCCCUAAAACUCCUCCUCAGGGACUAUGGACUUUCUUUGGAUUUCUAGCAAAGUAAUGAUUAUCUUUAAAUGAAUUCCUAGCCCCAGGCAAUGUAUUAAAUGCUUGAUGUGCACUCUUAACGCUCUGGGUUACUCUUACUGUUUGUGGUGGUUGAUUUUCUUAUACCCAUUUGCAAAUGAGGCUUUGAUUAAAGAAUGCAGCAGCCAGAAUGAUCCUGUUUGGACAAAGGUUAGAUUUUAUCAUUCCUCAGUUUAAAUUCCUCCAGUGGCUUCCAGCCUGUCCCUGGGUUCCCUAUACAGAACUAUAAGACCCUACAAGCCUGCAUAUGAUUAACCCUUAUCCCUCACUCUCUGCGUUGUGCUUCAGUCCUAAUCUUCCUUACUGUUUCUCAGAGCUCUGCAAAUGCAUUCCUGCCUCGCCUCAGGACCCUUGCACUUGUUACCUCUAGAAUGCCCACUCUUCUAUUUUCUAAAUUCUAGCCUCAUGUGCUUUUCAAAUAUAUUUUUAUUGUGCCAAAAUACACACAAUGGAAAUUUUACCAUUUUAACCAUUUUAAGUAUGCAGUUGAGCAGCAUAAGUACAUUCACAUUGUUGCACAAUCAUUGCCACUGUCCAUCUCCACAACUUUUCCCUCACUCCGGACUUAAAUUCUAUGCCCAUUAAACACUUAACUCCUCAUUCCUCCCUUCCAAACCUCCAGAAACUGCCAUUAUCCUUUGCUCUAUGCAUUUGACUAUUCUACUUAUACUUUGUAUAAGUGAAAUCAUAUAAUCCUUGUCAUUGUGUGUCUGGCUUAUUUCAUUGAUAUUUUCAAGGUUAAUUUUUGUUGUAGCACGUAUGAGAAUGUCAUUCUUUUUUAAGAUUGAAUAAUAUUCCAUUACAUGUAGAUACCACAUUUUGUUUAGCCAUUCAUCCAUUGAUGGACAUUUGGGUUGUUUCCGCCUUUUGGCUAUUAUGAAUAAUGUUGCAAUGAAUAGUCUUCUAUCUUUUAUACUUCAAUAGAUACAUAGUAUUUAUAAAAUCAGAUAAUGUUGCAAAAUUCUUUUAUGUGCCUCUAGAGCAGAGAGCACAGUGCUGUCUAGAGUGAUCUUUCAUAAACACAAGCUCCCUCCUGCUUGGGCUCACCUAUGGCUUCCCUUCACUUUAGACUUGUCUAUGAGAAACCUUACUACAGUCUGCAAGAUCUAAGCGAUCUGACCCAACCUCCAGCUUUUGCCUUUUCUCUUUUCCUUCUAGUUAUUCCUCAAACACACCCAGCUGCUGAUCACCUUAGGGCCUUUGCAAACUUGCUCUGCCCUUCUCUGAAAAUAACUCCCUUCAGACCUUUGCAUGGUUCAGGAACCCAAUCAGAGGUUCUGCCUCAGAGAGAACUUCCUGACCAGCGGAUCUAAAAUAUCGCCUAGUGCCCCAGUUGUCUCCAUUUUCUUGAGUUUUCUUCAGAGCACGUCUCAUUUGGGGUCUCCUGCCCUACAAUGUGAGCUUCAAGAAAAGCAGGAAUUUGGUGCUUUUCUUGUCUUUUAUGGUACUCCUAUCUCUGUCAGAACAGACUUCUCUUUAUUGUGAAUCAGAAAACGGGUGCCCGUGCUCUUUCUGGACAGAGGAAUUUGCAGAAAGGUUCACCCUCUUCCUGAGCCAACGCAGCCAAGGCACAAAGAUUUCAGCUCCUGCCCCUGUUGUCUAUACAAUGCUGAAUUGUGGACCCUCGCAGGCAUGGCACACAGUAGGUGCUCAAUAAUUACUGGUCGAGCGAAAUAUAGCAAUUAAGAUCAUGACGGGA
rnacentral:lncRNA from 1 species